AAUAAAGUCUCAGUGUCUACAAAAACUCAUGCAUGGACUGUUGAGUACAAACAUCAAUAGAGACUGUAGUUUGAUCCCAUUGCAUUUCUUACUCCAUCAACUCUGUGAAAUUUUUCAUUUUUGAUUUGGCUAUUGAUUUUUUGUCCCUUUUGGUCUUCAAGUAUACAAGUAGUUAUAAAUACAUCAUUUGGCUUUCUUAAAUUCUAAGUGAUAAAUGUCGAAAUUAUAUAUAUUUAAACUAUGAUUCCAACACCCUCAGACAAAGUUGACCUAAGGUAGAAUUGGCUAUAUUUUUAGAUCCGUUUUGGUCAUUUAGCUCCUUGUGUAUUCAGUAGUACGCGCAUAUAUAUAUAUAUACAUCCUUGGCUUUCACGAGUGUUCCUGAUGAAGGUUAAUCCAGAUAUACAUCCUUGGCUUUCACGAGUGUUCCUGAUGAAGGUAAAUCCAGAUAUACAUCCUUAGCUUUCACGAGUGUUCCUGAUGAAGGUAAAUCCAGAUAUACAUCCUUGGCUUUCACGAGUGUUCCUGGUGAAGGUAACAGAUAUACAUCCUUGGCUUUUACGAGUGUUCCUUGUGAAGGUAAAUCCAGAUAUACAUCCUUGGCUUUCACGAGUGUUCCUGGUGAAGGUAAAUCCAGAUAUACAUCCUUGGUUUUCACAAGUGUUCCUGGUGAAGGUAAAUACAGAUAUACAUUCUUAGCUUUCACGAGUGUUCCUGGUGAAGGUAAAUCCAGAUAUACAUUCUUAGCUUUCACGAGUGUUCCUGAUGAAGGUAAAUCCAGAUAUACAUCCUUAGCUUUCACGAGUGUUCCUGGUGAAGGUAAAUCCAGAUAUACAUCCUUGGCUUUCACGAGUGUUCCUGGUGAAGGUAAAUCCAGAUAUACAUCCUUGGCUUUCACGAGUGUUCCUGGUGAAGGUAAAUCCAGAUAUACAUCCUUGGCUUUCACGAGUGUUCCUGAUGAAGGUAAAUCCAGUUAUACAUCCUUGGCUUUCACGAGUGUUCCUGAUGAAGGUAACAGAUAUACAUCCUUGGCUUUCUCGAGUGUUCCUGGUGAAGGACAUUGUAUAUGCUAAGUUAGUAAACUAACAUGUAUAUCACAGCACAUAUAUAUACACUAGUGUACUUAUUCAUUUAUUUAUUUAAACAACUCCAAACACACAAUAUCUAUGUGCACUUAUGUGUAUAUGAUACAUAGCAGAGUAUAAGCCAACUGGAAAGUGUUGAAAAUUUAGGAAUAACUAAAUUUUAGGUUCAUACUUGCCAACAUCAAUUAUUGAAAUUUUUUUUUAACACCAAUAAGAUAUUUCUUUAUUUCUAUCAAUUGUUUGUUACAUUGUCUUCAACAAGUCCAAGCUCCUUGUGAAGAAAAAAUAUAAUUUACAAUUCUAUUGUAAUAAUAAAUUAUAAAACAUCAAUUAUUGAUUUUACUAUCACAAAUUGAAAAUGGAUAUUAGUAACUGUAAAAUGUAUGGUUAUCAUUGAUGUCAGCAAGUAUUAAAAUAAAUGGCCUUUAUUCCUAUUCUAAUUCUAUCUAAUUCAAUUGCUAAACUUAUUCUGUUAAAAUGUUAAACUAUAAGUAAACUGAAAUGAUUGCAUAUACAUGUAGCAUUCUGAAUGGUAAUGAAUAGAUUUACCCUCUCAAAAUAUAUCGUCAAAUCAAAAGUGUCAGUACAAAUGAAUUGCAUCAUAAUGAAUGUUUUUUCUACUACCAAUAAAACCUUCAUAAAAAAAUUUGAAGGUAUAGGGCAUCUACAAAGCUUUUCUCCUACCAUAAUACUUCAAUAAGAUAUCAGAUAUAAAAAAACAUAUUAUAAAUAUUGAUUAUGAUAACAAAGAAAAAAUUAUUACUGCAAAAAAUCUUUCUCCAAAUGUACCAUUGAUGAGACAA